rnacentral:rRNA from 1 species
GUCGGCUAUGCAUCGUUGCCCUUUCCCGGAGCUUGCUCCACCGAAAGAAAAGGAGUGGCGAACGGGUGAGUAACACGUGGGUAACCUGCCCAUCAGAAGGGGAUAACACUUGGAAACAGGUGCUAAUACCGUAUAACAAUCGAAACCGCAUGGUUUCGGUUUGAAAGGCGCUUUUGCGUCACUGAUGGAUGGACCCGCGGUGCAUUAGCUAGUUGGUGAGGUAACGGCUCACCAAGGCAACGAUGCAUAGCCGACCUGAGAGGGUGAUCGGCCACAUUGGGACUGAGACACGGCCCAAACUCCUACGGGAGGCAGCAGUAGGGAAUCUUCGGCAAUGGACGCAAGUCUGACCGAGCAACGCCGCGUGAGUGAAGAAGGUUUUCGGAUCGUAAAACUCUGUUGUUAGAGAAGAACAAGGAUGAGAGUAGAAUGUUCAUCCCUUGACGGUAUCUAACCAGAAAGCCACGGCUAACUACGUGCCAGCAGCCGCGGUAAUACGUAGGUGGCAAGCGUUGUCCGGAUUUAUUGGGCGUAAAGCGAGCGCAGGCGGUUUCUUAAGUCUGAUGUGAAAGCCCCCGGCUCAACCGGGGAGGGUCAUUGGAAACUGGGAAACUUGAGUGCAGAAGAGGAGAGUGGAAUUCCAUGUGUAGCGGUGAAAUGCGUAGAUAUAUGGAGGAACACCAGUGGCGAAGGCGGCUCUCUGGUCUGUAACUGACGCUGAGGCUCGAAAGCGUGGGGAGCAAACAGGAUUAGAUACCCUGGUAGUCCACGCCGUAAACGAUGAGUGCUAAGUGUUGGAGGGUUUCCGCCCUUCAGUGCUGCAGCUAACGCAUUAAGCACUCCGCCUGGGGGAGUACGACCGCAAGGUUGAAACUCAAAGGAAUUGACGGGGGCCCGCACAAGCGGUGGAGCAUGUGUUUAAUUCGAAGCAUCGCGAAGAUCUUACCAGUCUGACAUCCUUUGACUACUCUAGAAGAUAAGAGCUGCCCUUCGGGGCCAAGUGACAGUGGUUGCAUGUUGUCGUCAGCUCGUGUCAUGGGAAUGUUGGCUAGUCCGGCACGAGGCACCCUUACUGUAAGUUGCCAUCAAUACUCGUCUUCUAGCGAACUGCGGUGACGACGAGCAGGUGCGGAUGACGCGAUCACAUUGCCUUAUGACUGGCUAACUGUCCUGAGUCACAG